CAGUCCAAAAGGAAAAUGUAAAAUUAAACAUAUGUAUAUUUUUGAAUCAUAGAAACUAAACAAAAUAGUUGAUUUUGACAUUACGAAUUAAAGCACUUUUUACAUAUUGUUUUGAAUUGUCGACAUAAUUCAAUUACCCAGCAAGUCAUGGGUACUGAAACUCCGACACAUUCAAAGAAAUUUUAAUAACACCACUACAUACACACAUACACAACAAAGGGUAAAAUGUGCAUAAACAUUUAACUCAACUCUUCUCUCAUACAGCACCCUGAAUGAUAGAAAGAAACAACCAAAGUUCUCGUGUGUUUGAACAAGUUUUGUUUUGAGCUAUAUCAUGGCUGCUUGUGAACUAUUAUUUUGCGUGUUUUAUUUAAUUCAGUGAUCUGCAGCCUAAUUAAAGUAUAAAUUAUUGAAGCACGCAUUUUUAAAUAAGUAAAACGUAAAAUAAAAGUUUUCUAAGGCCAAAAUAUGGAAUUGAAGAGGGUGAUACAGUAAUACUUCAUUGCACUAUCAAUACGAAGCUCGCAAUAGAAUGGCGAAACCAUUGAAUACAUAUUUCAAACCUCAUAUGGCGCGUUAAAGGUACGCAAACUUAUUGGUGUCACUUAUUGUAGCAGCGUAGAACUUUCGAAGCGAUGGAAUAUGUGCUGCAAGCAAAUCCAAAACUAUGGACGCAAACGCUGCUACAUGGAACACAAAUCAUUCACACACCAGAUAUUAUGUUUAAUGUCAGUUUUUUGCAUGCAAUUAAACCUUUUGGUCAACACAAGCACGAGAAUUGGAACGACAUGGUUUAGGUGCUUUUGAAACAGUUUAUUAUCACGAUGUGUGUCAACUGGGUUUUGCCAAUGAGCUAGAAGGCAAAGCAGUUUCAGUAUCUUUGAGCUUACCGGCACUUGGCCGUGCUAUUAGCAGCUAAAACACAGAAAUUAAAGGGAGGACUUUUUUGAUUCAUUUUCACCUUGUAUUGAGGAAUCAUAACGUUGUUGUAUCGCUUUACAAGGACAUAAAUUCACCGAAAUUAGUUCAAUGGAAAUACUACAGCAAGAGCAUGGAUGUUAAGACUUGAACGGUGCCGUGUUAGAUUUAGAAUUCCUGAAACAUAAGAAACCCUCCUCCCAGAUGAAUCUUGUACUAGUGAAAUUAAUGAGAUCUUAUAAAUUAAUGAGAUCUUAUAAAAACUCCGAAAGAAACCAAAAGAGUCCUCACAUAAUGUGCGCAGCUUACACUUCCAGCCCGCACGGGGUAUCUGAGAUUUGCCACUCUUCCUCCAGCCUUUGUCCGAUAGCAAAAAUUGUU